UACAGAGGGUGCAAGCGUUAAUCGGAAUUACUGGGCGUAAAGGGUGCGUAGGUGGUUGAAUAAGUUAGGUGUGAAAGCCCCGGCUUAACCUGGGAAUGGCGCCUAAUACUGUUUAGCUAGAGUACUGUAGAGGAAGGUGGAAUUUCCGGUGUAGCGGUGAAAUGCGUAGAUAUCGGAAGGAACAUCAGUGGCGAAGGCGACUUUCUGGACAGAUACUGACACUGAGGCACGAGAGCAUGGGUAGCAAACAGG
rnacentral:rRNA from 1 species